CGGGACGUGGCGCAGCUCGGUAGCGCACCUGAAUGGGGUUCAGGGGGUCGCCGGUUCGAAUCCGGCCGUCCCGA
rnacentral:tRNA from 2 species